UACGUAGGGGGCAAGCGUUGUCCGGAAUCAUUGGGCGUAAAGCGCGUGUAGGCGGCCAGAAAAGUCCGCUGUGAAAACUCGAGGCUCAACUUCGAGCUGUCGGUGGAAACUUUCUGGCUAGAGUCCGGAAGAGGAGAAUGGAAUUCCUGGUGUAGCGGUGAAAUGCGCAGAUAUCAGGAAGAACACCCGUGGCGAAGGCGGCUCUCUGGUACGUGACUGACGCUGAGACGCGAAAGCGUGGGGAGCAAACAGG
rnacentral:rRNA from 1 species